CAACAUUAACUUAAAAACGGAUGAAGCCAAUGUUUUUCAGAAUAAUCCAUUUGAUUGGAAUUAAUAGAAGAGUUGGUUAGAAAAUGGGACCUUUGUGAUUGUAUUGUAAUUGAAUGAUAUAUCUGCUUAGAAUAAAUGCUGCAGGUGCCAUAAGAUAUUCCUGGAUUCCUUGGUACACAAGAGACUGAACAUUGCUCAGGAAUACAGAUUUAAAAUAUCAGCAAACCAAAUAGUCUUCUCCUAUAGAGAAGAACAAACCGAAAUGCAGGAAUGCUGUAAGUGGUAGAAUGACAUCAGCACAUACAUAGAUUAUAUCUUCUGUGACUGAAGCUCACAAAAAUGCUCACCAAAAAUAUAUAUUUGCCUGAUGGCUGGAAUUUGCAUUUCUCUAAGGUGGCUUUUGUGGGAACUAAAACUGUAAUCGCUCAGGCUCUGCCACAAUGAGACACUAUAUUGGCUGCUGUGUGAAAAGACAACAUGACUUCCUUCCACACUUGUCAUUGCAGGGUUCACUUGGCCGGGUGUGGCUAUUCGGGAACAACUGGAAAAGAACGGUCUACACCUGAAGUGGUGUGAACAUAGUAUUGCAUUGUACAUGACAUAGACCAGAUGGGAGCCAGAAAAGAAUAGCUCCAGUAAUGAAAAUCCACCCUGAUAUAUUUAGUUAAAUGCCUCGUGUGUGUUUCACAUUAUGAGAAGAAAAUAACAUUAGAAUAAUAUGCAGGAAAAGGGGAAACUAUUAUUUUGUCCCAUUUGCAGUAGAUGAUAUUUUUUUCAAGAUGUCUGUUCCAGCCUAAUUAAUUGUGAUUGUAGUAAACAGUUUCAGACUCCUGUUAUUUCAUGGCUGUAAUGCUUUCUCAGGCUAAUUUCCCUAGAAUGCACCUUCUUUCCUCUGUAAGUUGCAAGCUGUUAUUUUGGUUUCCAUAAAAAAUAUAAGAGCGAUGGUGUGCUCAUUUGAAGCUUGGAUAUACACAAAAGAGUAUGUGCUCCCUGAAGCCUACUUACUUAACAUGGUGACUUAUGUGACAUUGAAGAUGGUGGCUAGUCUUGCUUAAAUCACCCACCUCUAUUCCUUCCCCCCCACUU